UAAAAAUAAUAAUUCACGGAAAAAACAUAUCCUGGACCAAAUGUCCGACCAAUGAACAUAACUUUCAUUAUUAUGUCCUUGUCCGUCUUAUUUUAUGCUACACUAUUUAAAGGUAGACGUAAUACGUUUAGUUAUAUUAUACAUUGUUCAAAUAAGACAGGACUUCUGAACGAUGAAAGCCUACCUCGGUUUUUGCAUCUUAUUGAUAUGUUUGUCGGGUUUGGAGAAUACUGAUGCUCUUAAGUGCUUUAGAAGUUAUUGUCGUACCCGUGCAGAUUGCGAAUAUGGAUGUCGUGUCCGUAAUUGUGGCAUUAAAUAUGACUGCAAUGUCCAACAAAAGGAAUGCUGUUGUGAUGCUUGCAGCCCUAAUUAAUAACCAGGAAUACACAGAACAUCAAAUUGUUAACAUUACAGAAAAUGCGCGUAUACAUGAAUAUUAAAAUAUUGCAUCAGUCGA